rnacentral:rRNA from 1 species
GGCUGUCGUCAGCUCGUGUCGUGAGAUGUUGGGUUAAGUCCGUAACGAGCGCAACCCUUGUCCUUAGUUACCAGCACGUUAUGGUGGGCACUCUAAGGAGACUGCCGGUGACAACCGAGGAAGGUGGGGAUGACGUCAAGUCAUCAUGGCCCUUACGGCCUGGGCUACACACGUGCUACAAUGGUCGGUACAAAGGGUUGCCAAGCCGCGAGGUGGAGCUAAUCCCAUAAAAACCGAUCGUAGUCCGGAUCGCAGUCUGCAACUCGACUGCGUGAAGUCGGAAUCGCUAGUAAUCGUGAAUCAGAAUGUCACGGUGAAUACGUUCCCGGGCCUU